UAUUUUGCAGAUGCUGCAUUGUAACUUGGUGAUGUCGGACUGUAAGUUGGUGAUGUAGGACUGUAGCUAGGGGAAGUAGGACUGUAGCCCGGAGAAGUAGGGCUAUAAGCUGGUGAAGUUGGACUAUAAGAAGGUGAUGUCGGACUGUAAGAAGGUGAGGUAGGACUGUAAGAAGGCGAGGUAGGACUGUAAGAAGGCGAGGUAGGACUGUAUGCAGGAGAGGUUGGGCUAUAGACAGGAGAGGUUGGGCUAUAAGCUGGUGAUGUGGGGCUGUAGCUGGGUGAUGUGGGGCUGUAGCUGGGUGAUGUGGGACUGUAACUGGGUGAAGUGGGGCUGUAACUGGGUGAAGUAGGGCUAUAGCUUGGUGAUGUUGGGCUGUAACUGGGUGAG
rnacentral:lncRNA from 1 species